GGAUUCGCUAGUAAUCGCGCAUCAGCCACGGCGCGGUGAAUACGUUCCCGGGCCUUGUACACACCGCCCGUCAAGCCAUGGAAGCCGGGGGUGCCUGAAGUGCGUGACCGCAAGGAGCGCCCUAAGGUAAAACCGGUGACUGGGGCUAAGUCGUAACAAGGUACC
rnacentral:rRNA from 1 species